GCUAUGCAAGGCGUGACUUUGCUCCUCCUUUGCCUUCUGACAUGAUUGUGAGGCCUCCCCAGCCAUGUGGAACUGAUUAAAAAAACCCACGCUGCUGAUAUCCUUGUCAGCCUUUUCCUGAAUCAUUGCUGUGCAGCUCCAGGGAGCCACGGGCCGGUGCCUUCUGACCGGCAGACUCCGUCCAUGGGCCUUCCUGUCCUUGGGGUCCUGGAGCUCUCUGUCUGAGCCUCCUUGGCCACUGAAGCAACACCCAGAGGCCUGCAUCCUCUAAGAAAUGCCAGCCAGGGUUGCAGAUGGAGCCAAGAAUUGAAAAUCUGGCCGAGUCUUUCCAUCUCACAGAUGAGCAAGCUGAACCUCAGAGGGCUUAGUGAUGUGGUUGAGGCACAGCCACCAAGGAUCAAUGACUGAGAAAAGUACUGAGUACACAGAAGUGGCGACGGGCAAAUGGAGAUCCUGGAAAAGGAGGUUUUCUACCAAAAUAUCCUUGUGAACAUGAGGACAGCUUCCAAACUGAGAAAGAGUGGGCUCGAGAAAGCUCUAAUGCUUCUUUCCCUGACACGAAGUGCUUCGUGCAGUGUUUGGCAUCAACAUGUCGGAGCCGUGGCAACGUUCUCCGUGCAUCCCCGCUUGGGCGUCAUUUUGGAUGUAUGAAUAUGGACUGAAGGUCAAACUCAGACCAGAGGCAGGACCCAGGAUCAGAGGCCAGGCUGAUGCCAAGGGUAAAGGACAGGAUGAGAGGACUCUGCAAAAUUGUUCUCCUUUGGCCGGUACCCCUGCCUUGGUUUCUCUCCAGCCCCACACAGUCAGGGAAGAGAAAAGGGAAAAGAGAAGUUUGACUGCCACUGAUAAGAAGGCACAUUAAACACUGUCCUCAUAAUCAAAUUAUUGGCAGGGACUUGACACUUGGUAAAGGUUCAGCUGUGAACUGAACAGUCACUAAUCCUGUGGCAGCUGAAAAUCCUGACCCAGAGAACAGGUGGAGAAGCACCGUACUGACACCAGAAUCCCCAGGAUGCUAUUCAGUUGACACAGAGACCACACGCUUCAUAGUAUUCAGAGCACUGGACUUGGGACCAGAAGUUCCAGCUCAUCACUGCUGUAUAACUGUAAAGAAAUCAUUUAGCCUCUCGAGCCUCAUUCUUUGUGUGAGAUGGAGAUAAUCCUACUCAUCUCAUAGGGCAGUUGUGAGGACUGAAUGAGUUUAAAUGCAAAAUGCUCUUAAGACACUGUGAUAUAUCUGCAUCCACCCACUUAUCUCCCUGCUUACCUAUCUCUGUAAAAUAGGGAUAAUAAUAGUUACUACUUCACAGAGUUGUAAGAGUUGAGUGAAAAGGUGAAUGAUGGAGGCUGAGGUGGGCGGACCAUCUGAGGUCAGGAGUUGGAGACCAGCCUGGCCAACAUGGUGAAACCCCGUCUCUACUAAAAAUACAAAAAUUAGC
rnacentral:lncRNA from 1 species